GAUGAACGCUGGCGGCGCGCCUAACACAUGCAAGUCGAACGGCACCCACCCUCGGGUGGAAGCGAGUGGCGAACGGCUGAGUAACACGUGGAGAACCUGCCCCCUCCCCCGGGAUAGCCGCCCGAAAGGACGGGUAAUACCGGAUACCCCGGGGUGCCGCAUGACACCCCGGCUAAAGCCCCGACGGGAGGGGAUGGCUCCGCGGCCCAUCAGGUAGACGGCGGGGUGACGGCCCACCGUGCCGACAACGGGUAGCCGGGUUGAGAGACCGACCGGCCAGAUUGGGACUGAGACACGGCCCAGACUCCUACGGGAGGCAGCAGUGGGGAAUCUUGCGCAAUGGGGGGAACCCUGACGCAGCGACGCCGCGUGCGGGACGGAGGCCUUCGGGUCGUAAACCGCUUUCAGCAGGGAAGAGUCAAGACUGUACCUGCAGAAGAAGCCCCGG
rnacentral:rRNA from 1 species